GAAGCCCGCCAGACCACCGCUGGUGCAAUUCUGGAAACAGAGCACUGGAGGAACGUCCGGACUGCAUAGGGCAGCGUAGCAGCUAACGGCUGUCCACCGACAAGUCGGCCACGCAAGUGGCAGGCCCUAAGGUGAGGAUCAGAGCAACAGAGACGAGUUGAUGGAAUGACCUUUGGGUGUUCUAUGCGUGCAGCGCGGCGCAAGCCGUGCCCCGGGCAACCGGGUACGCAUAGCCACCUGAUGAACGCAGGACAUCAGGUGAAACGGGCAAUCUCUACGCGCAGCAAUACCAAGUAGGCACACGUUGACGGGGCCCCCGGAGUGUGCGGGUAGGUAGCAUCGAGCCGUCCGGGUGACCGGCGGCCCAGAGUAAUGGUGGUCACGUGGGGGAAACCCCAUGCACAGAAUCCGGCUUAUCGGUGGGCUUCACAC
rnacentral:RNase_P_RNA from 1 species